CACGUAGGGGACGAGCGUUGUCCGGAUUCAUUGGGCGUAAAGCGCGCGUAGGCGGCUCGGAAAGUCGGUCGUGAAAUGCCGGGGCUCAACCCCGGGACUGCGUCCGAUACUCCCGAGCUGGAGGCAGGUAGGGGAGAUCGGAAUUCCUGGUGUAGCGGUGAAAUGCGCAGAUAUCAGGAGGAACACCAAAGGUGAAAACAGACUGCUGGGAGUGUGCUGACGCUGAGACACGAAAGCCAGGGGAGCGAACGGG
rnacentral:rRNA from 1 species